rnacentral:rRNA from 1 species
GAUGAACGCUGGCGGCGUGCCUAAUACAUGCAAGUCGAACGCUGGAAAUCUAGCUUGCUCGAUUGAAGGAGUGGCGAACGGGUGAGUAAUACAUAAGUAACCUACCCACGAAGACUGGGAUAAUCUCUGGAAACGGGGACUAAUACCGGAUAGGUAAUCGGAAGGCAUCUUCUGAUUAUUAAAGGUUAAAAACACUGGUGGAUGGGCUUAUGGCGCAUUAGUUAGUUGGUGAGGUAACGGCCCACCAAGACGAUGAUGCGUAGCCGGCCUGAGAGGGUGAACGGCCACAUUGGGACUGAGACACGGCCCAGACGCCGACGGGAGGCAGCAGUAGGGAAUUUUCGGCAAUGGGGGAAAACCUGACCGAGCAACGCCGCGUGAGUGAGGACGGCCUUCGGGUUGUAAAGCUCUGUUGUAAGGGAAGAACGGUAGAUAGAGAAUAUCUAAAUGACGGUACCUUACCAGAAAGCCACGGCUAACUACGUG